rnacentral:lncRNA from 1 species
UUUUUUACUGAUGAAUAGUAAUCCAUGGUGUUUUCGUCUGUUUUGUGCUGCUAAAACAGGAUAUUUGAGACUGGGUGAUUUGUAAGGAAGACAAAUUUACCACUCAAAGUUGCCAAGGUUGAACAAGAAACUGGCAUUUUAUCAUGUGUUCUCACAUGGUGAAAGUGAAAGGGCAAGGGAGGACAAAUUCUGUGUCCUCAAGUGGCAGAAGAGCAAGAGAGCAAACCCAUCCCUGCAAGUCCUUUUCAUAGUGGUGUUGAACCAUUUAUGAGAGCCCUCAACACUUCCCCAAGGUCUCAUCUCCUAACACUGCACUGGGGAGUGUUUCCAGCACAUGAAUUUUGGAAAGGAUAUAUCCAGACCAGGCACAUGGUACUUUUCAGUUUUUGACUGCUGUGAAUAAAGCACCUGUAACAUUAGUAUGUGGGUUUUUGUGUGACCCUUCAUAAGUCUUCACUUCCCUAGGAUAUUUGCCUAGGAGUGUGGUUACUGUGUCAUAUAGUAAGUUGACUUUUAUUUCAUUAUUUUGUGGUAAUAGGGAUUGAACUCAGGGGCACUCUACCACUGAUUUAUGUCCUCAACCCUUUUUAUUUUAUUUUAUUGAAAAUUUUGAGUCAGGGUCUUAAUAAAUUGCUAGGACUGGCCUUGAACUCACAGACCUCCUGUCUCAGCAUUCUAAAUCACUGGGAUUACAGGAGUGCGCUACUGUGCCUGGCUAUGUUGGUUUUUUUGUUGUAUAAGAAACUGCCAAAGUUGGGUGUGAUGGUGCACACCUUAAUCCCAGUGACGCAGGAGUCUGGGGGAGAAUGAUUGCAAGUUUGAGAUCAGCCUCAGCAACUUAGUGAGAUCAUUAGCAACUUAGUGAGACCUUGUUUAAAAGAAAAAACAAAAAAAUAAAAAAAGACUAAGCAUGUAGCUCAGUGGUAGAAUGCCCCUGAGUUCAAUCACAGUUCCAAGGGGAAAAAGGAAAAAGAACAGACAUUGUAAAAUUAUUUCCAGAGUGGCUGUACCAUUUUGUGUUCCCAUCUCCUGGAAUCCUCACUGGCAUUCGGUGUGAUACUGUAUUUUAAUUUAGCUAUUUGAUAG